rnacentral:rRNA from 1 species
GUGUCAGCAGCCGCGGUAAGACAGAGGGUGCAAACGUUGUUCGGAAUUACUGGGCAUAAAGCGCACGUAGGUGGUCCGCUAAGUCGCGUGUGAAAUCCCCCGGCUCAACCGGGGAAAUGCGCGUGAUACUGGCGGGCUUGAGAUCGGGAGGGGUGAAUGGAACUCCAGGUGGAGCGGUGAAAUGCGUAGAUAUCUGGAGGAACACCGGUGGCGAAAGCGGUUCACUGGCCCGACACUGACACUGAGGUGCGAAAGCUAGGGUAGCAAACGGGAUUAGAUACCCCCGUAGUCC